AUCCCAGGAAAGGCUCAGGGAUUUGGGAUGGAUCCCAGGAAAGGCUCAGGGGUUUGGGAUGGAUCCCAGGAAAGGCUCAGAGAUUUGGGAUGGAUCCCAGGAAAGGUUCUUCCCCUGAGGGUGGUGGGCACUGCCCGGGCUCCCCAGGCUGCUGGGCACAUCCCCAACCUGCCAGAGCUCCAGGAGCCUUUGGAAAACCCUCUGGGGCUGCUGUGGAUCUUUGGAUCGUGCUGGAUUGCUGAACAGAACUGGAAUCAACAAAAAGCCACAAACAAGCCCAGAACUGCACCAGACAGGAGGCCUCCCCCAGUGACUCAGCCCCAGGAGGUGAAAUCACCCAGGAAUUCAUCCAGAGGGAAACCGAGCUGCCCAAAACCACAUCUCAUCUUUGGGAGGAUGAAACGAGCCAGGGUGAGCCUCGUUUUUGGGAGAAAUCCUCGUUAUCUUCAGCUGGGAGUCUGGAUUUGUGUCUGGAGACCAGCCAGGAUGGGAAUAUUUGGAAUAUUCCGUGUGGAAUGAGCUUUUCCUGGAGAUUGCUGCACUCAGGAGCCCCAGGGAAGAGCAGCCCGUGGGAGGAGAGAUUCCAGCACUGAGGAGGUGGCAAAAUGUGAUUUUCACUUGUAAAAGUCAGAUUGAAGUUGGAAAAGAUUUUUUUUUUUAAAUUCCACACAGGGCUGAAUUUAAAUUCCAAGUUUUUGGGUUUUUUUGUUUGGAUUUUUUUUUUUUUAAAUUCCACACAGGAACAAAUUCCUUCCCCAAAUCCCACCCAUCCCUGCCCUCCCUGUGUCCCGUCCCUCCAUCCCUUAUCCCAAAUCCCUCUCCAGCUCUCCUGGAGCCCCUUCAGGCCCUGCAAAACCCCAAUUUGGUCACCCCAAAGCUCCCACGUGAUUUUUGAUGCCAUAAAUUGAAUAUUUGAGCUACAAAAUUGCAACCCAAAACAGAUUUUCUAUAGAAAUUAAACAAAAAAAGCAGAGGGUGAGCAGAAAAAAAAGAAAUUGGUAUUGAUCCUGAAAGGAUUUUGGUUUUUGGGAGAAAAUAAAAUCACAGCAAAAAAUCUGCUUCAUACAAAUUUACAGCACAAAUGUAGCCCUAAUUUAAAAUUAAUUUCAAUUAAUAUGCAUUUCCUGAAAGAAUUCACAGCAUGACUACAGCAAUGCUUGUUAGAGGAUCAGACUUGUAUAUAUUCCUAUUUCCAGUUCAUUAAUUAUGUUAAUGAUUGGUCUAAACCCACUCAAAUUAGACAUCUCACUGUAAAUAGUUGGGUUUUAAAUAUUAAAUAAUAUUAGCUAUUAAUAAUAUCAAUAUUACCAAUAAAAAAUGGGUUAUUGGGGUUUUUGGCAUUUUUCCAUUUAAGUGGCUUUGGGUUGUUUUUUUUUAUAAUUCAAUUUCCAGUCAUGGUAUUAAUUGGAUUAUAAAAAUAGAUGUAAAAAUAAUGUGAGAUUGUGUGAGAUGAGCAGGGUCCUGUUCAGCUCGAUAGAAACCCAAAGAAAGGAAAUUUUUCCAUGGUUCUUUCCUAAAGCUGAGGGAAACUGGGAAAGAAUCCUCCAGGAGUUAUUUUAGUAAAAACACUUGGAAUUUUGCAGUGUCAGAAUUUCCUCUGGAUGCUUUUCUUCAAGGGAACAACAUCCAAACAACGAAUUUCCCUCAUAUUUUCCACAUGAAGCCAAAUCCUAAAUAAAAUCUAGACAGGAGGAAGGGUUGGCUGAAGGAUUAGUCUCAUUUUAAUAGAAUAUCCACAGAUUUUAUGGAAUAAUACAAAGCAAAACUCAGGGUACAGAUGAAGAGUCCGCUAGCACAAACCACCUAAUUACAACCACUGCAGAAAAUGACAUUUCACACCUUUGUACAGGUGGGGUCGGGCUGGAAAGGAACAAAAAAAGAACAAAAAAAGAACAAAAAAAGAACAAAAAAACCACAAAAAAAGAACAAAAACACCCCUGGGAUUGUGGUUUAUUGUCGUGGUGAGUUCUGAACUCCACUUUGCCAAAACCUGCUGCGUUUCUGGCUGCCAGGAAGGAAGGAAAGAAGGAAAUAGAAAAGAGAAAAAUGUGCUUUUUGUGGUUUUUUUGUCCCUUUCUCCUGCUCCAGGCCCAUCCCAGCUCGUCACCACCAGCCUUUCCUUGACGCCUGGGUUUUUGAAAUCCUCUAAAAAAGAGGAUUUGUUGCCUUUAAAACCUUUUCUGCACCUCUGUGGGGAAUAAAGAUGGAAAAAUUACCGUGAGGGAAGCUCUAAAUAUCCACUGACAUUUACACAGCACUGGACAGAGAGAAUUGGGGUGAAUUCCUGCCCCGGAAUCCUCAGCAGGAUCCCAGCUUUGGUUCCUGUGCCUUCCUUGGGAACCACAACAAAAAUUCAUGGCCCAAAUCUGGGUGGAAAAACCAGAAAAGCUGGAGUUUCUGGAGCUGGGGAUAAAUCCCCCAAGAGAGGGGAAGGGAAUUCCUGCUCUGCACAGGAAGAAAUUGGAUUUUUUAGCUGAUGUGAAUUGAGGUCCUGCAAUUAAACACACAACGGGUAAAAACACCAGGAUUUGGGUGAAUAUGGGCACAAAAGAACAUUUUCUGCAGCUAAAAUGUGACUUCCCAUGGAUUCACCGGGAAGAAAAACUCUCAGGAAAAAUCAAAUCCGACCAGAAAGUGCUCAGUACAAUCCAGGGAAGUGAGAAAUGAAGACCUUGGUGCUGCAGGGAUGGUUUUGUGGGGCAGCAACGGCGCCUGCUGCACGUCUGGGGCGCUGAGCAGUCCAGCAGUAUUGCUAAAGGGAUGAAGUUCAUUUCAUUUUCUUCUUUAAACAUAUUUAUAUAUUUAUAUACUGCUCACAGUUCUUCUGGAAAUGCACUUCUACCAGCAGCAGUGCAGAUUUCUCCCCAUCCAGCUGGGAUUUGUCACUCCACCUUUGGGACAGGGACAUUUUUUUGGUGUUUUUUCCAAGAAUUUGUAGCUUUUUGUUUUGCAACCAACACCUAAAAUCACUUGUUGAAAUAAGUUAAUGAUAAUUAAUUUUUUUUUUCUGCUAUAAAUUGCACUUUUGACAUUUCUAAUUUCUCCUUGAUGGGGCUGCAGGUUCUUCUCUGUGUUAAAAGACAUAAAAACUUUAUCCACGUAUCCAUCCAUCCAUCCGUGAAGAUAAACUUUACAUGCUUAAAAAACUGUGAAAAAUUAAAACCUAGUGCACACCCCUUGGGGUGCUCCAUCACAAAGUGCAUUUUUUGAAACAAAACAAAACCAAAAACUGCUUCCAAGAUGUUAAAAAUUGAUUUUUUUUUUUUUUAUGGAAACAUCUGCCCACCUCCACCUCGUGAAGGGAAAUUUGGGAUCUGUCCUUUUCCCAGCUGAAAUGCCCUCACUCUGAAGGAAUUACUUGGAAAAAGGUGAAGUUUCAUUGUCAGAUCUGCUCAUUCUGUAUUUUUUAUUUUUUCCUGGAGGUGCAGACAGAGUGGUUUUGGGAAGGAAUGAAACAACCAAAAAAACAAAUUCCAUUCUGGUGUGGAUCCAGAGCCCCCUCAUGAAAGGAGCUUGGGAUUCCUUAUCUCCCACAUCCAUAUUUUCCAUCACAGCAGCAUUUUUGAACGAUUUUUGAUGCACAAAAGUUGGGUUUUGACCCCAUAAUUCAACAUUUUAUCCACUUGAUUGUUGUACAAUUGCAAACUUCCCCUGCAGUGCCAGCCUGGGUCACUGAUGGUGGAAAAGCUGAUGGUUUUCCCUCUAAAUCCAUAAAAACAAAGGGAAAAAAGAAAAUCAACUUGAGUUGAACUUGAGGAGCUUUGUGAUUGUUCAUGGCCAGAAAUAAUUGGUUUAACCAGCAAAGUCCUUCCCUCACCCCUGGGACAGAGCCAGUGGCAGGGAUCCCAGCUCUGCUGAGGGAAUUUGGGAAUUCCUGGCUGCUCUUUCUGCCUCCAGGCAGAGCUGGGAGCUCAGGACAGCACGGAGGUGUCACCUGCAAUGAACCUGAGCUCCACAAACACCUGAGGGCUCCUCUGGCCUCCAAGCACAGAAUUCCUUGUGAAAUCCCAGACUGGGUUGGGUUGGAAAGGACCUUAAAUCCCACCCAGGCUGCUCCAAGCCCCUUCCAACUUGGAAUGUUUUAUCAAUAAUUUGUUUAUAAUGAGCUUGGUUGGUGCUUUUUAUUUAUUUGUUUUUAGGUGGAAUGUGGGAUUUAUUUUUUUUUUUCCAUCUUCAGCCUCUGGGUUGGUGCUGUGGGUGCAGUGCCCUGCUUUCCAUCCGUGGCUGGAGUGUGUGAGGAGAACAUCCCAAAUGAGAAUUUAGAUUAAAAAGCACUUCUGGUGCUUCCUUGGAGCCCCCAGGGGAAGGAGGAUCUCAUCCAGAUGGUUUUGUUCACUGAAAGGAGGAGAAAAGCAGCUUUGUGUGUCCAGAGGAGCCAUCCCCACCUUCAGGAAAAACCCUGCUUUGCCAGAAUUCUCCUUGAAGUGAAGAAAUGGGCAGGGAAUUCUUCAUCUGAAGAAUGAAAGGGGUGAUGAAGUGAAGAAAUGGGCAGGGAAUUCUCCAUCUGCAGGUGUUUGAGAGGGGUUUUACCUGAUCAUGGAAUCAGGGAACCCUGGAAUGAUUUGGAGGGAGCUGAAAUCCCCCCCAGGGCCACCCUGCCAUGGCAGGGACACCUCCCGCUGUCCCAGCUGUCCUUGGGCACUUCCAGGGGUCCAUCCCAAGGCCAUGCCAGCUGUCUCUGCCUCUGAAAUCAGGAAUUUCCAAAGAAUUUCGGCCAGAAUUUGUUCCUUCAUUUCUUUUCCCCCUCCUUUGCUCCUCACCAGCCCAAAUCCUGAAUUCCAAGGGUCAAAGUCCCACCUGAGCCCCAGCAGCCAUCCCUGUGUCCUGCACUCUCCGUGGGGGCAUUCCGGGCUGGAAUGCUGCUGGGAUGAGCAUUUCCCUGCUGAGGGAACCUCCCAAAAUUUCAGCAGCUCCUGGGAGGCGUCGAUUGUCCAGUGGCGCCGCGUUGAGACGGAGACAAGGCCUGGGGAACUUCCCUGUGCUGGAAAUCUCCUUCGAAACCCCGACCCUCUGGGGUGUGUGCCCUCGGGAGAAGGUCCUGUGGGAUCCCUUCAGAGAGCCUCACGCGCCUGGAUGGGAUAAACCAGGAAAAAAACGUGGAAAACCAUGGAAAAACCGUGGGAUUUCCUGCUGGGAAUGAGUUCCAGAGUGAGGGUGGAAGCUGGCAGUGCUGCCCAGGCUGUGGGCACCUGGAAUCUUCAGGAGGAGACUCACACUGGCUGGAAAACGGAGGGAAAAGCUCUUCCCAUUGCCUGUGGUCGUUAUUCCCAGGGGUGGCAGCUUUUGGGGUGUCCUGGAGGAACUGGGGGUGCAGCUCAAAGCAAGAGGGCUCCGCGCUGGCCAGCAGCGAGUGAAGGGUUUGUACUUGAAACCAAAAAUAAAUUCUCUUUCUGGGCUGGAGAUUCAUGGACGGGAGGAUGCUCUUGACUUACUCCAAAGAUACACAGAAAGUGAUUCCCAAAAGGUUAAAAGACUUUGCAUCCUGGAGGCAGAGGAGGCAGGCUCCAGGGUUUACAGGACUUGGAAGAAGGUGGUGGCAAGCUCUUGUCCCCAGAGGUCGCUGAGGUGGGU